rnacentral:rRNA from 1 species
AUGGCCACGUAUUUCGACCCGGACCGUGACUCCAAGAUAGACUACACAAAUAUCAAGAAAGUUCUUGAUGAUGCUCUCCCCGGCUACGCCGCAUCUGGAGGCACCUUUAAGAGGCCAGUUCGUAGGUACGGCAGGCACGUGUUCACCCACAAUACGACGUUCCCCUACGUCAAGCAGCCGCCUGGCGGUCAGAAGGAUGCCUACUACGCCCUCCAUCACAUGCGGGCGAUCGUACAGGACCAUAAUCACCUUCUGCUACCAAAUAAUCUCAAAAAUUGGGCCGCAAGCUUCGCGGCAAUCCAGGACGCGGACAUCCGACAAGAAUUCUUUCGCAUCCAGUCCGAGUUUGCAGAAAUCAUCCAUCAAGAUGUCCUUCGUACCUCGGGGCAGUUCUACCUCAAAUAUCAACCGUCCAACAGUGAGAUAGACACAACGCUACAAAUGCAGGCUGACAACGCCCGCGACUUCAUGACCAUCACGAAAGACGGCGGCUUCAUCCACGCUCCGGUCCCAUGA